GGUGUGGAUUCCGGAAGUGGGGGAUGGGGCCGGAAAUGGGGGAGGGGCCGGAAAUCAAGGGAUCAUAAAUCAUUUAUCAACUCGAUUAAUUAAAAUUUGACAGAAGGUAUCUCAUAUGAGUGUGUUAUGCGGCGAAAAUCCAAACCGUAAGUAAACAGUUUUAACUUAUGAAGACCAAAAGAUCUCAAAUACUUAUCUUUCAGCAGCUCGUACUAACAAACGCAAUGUGUAAUCAAUAAAAAAAGCACCAAAUGUGCUUUGUUAAUUGAUUAAACACAGGACAUUGUUGGAGUUCAGGUGCCAGGGUAAGUAAUCGACUUCUGGAUGUAACAGGUUUUGCUUCUGCAAACAAUCUACAUUCCUCUGGAAAUGACUCCUGUUGAGCACACUGAAAAAUGGUCCUUUCAGCUGCCUGAUACUCUUCAGUGUCAGGUGAAGAUGUUGAGAACACCUGCCCUCAAAGUUCUUUAAUAGUAGAAUACAAGAGCUUGUGAACUGUUGCAUCCUGACAGGUCGGAGUGGAGGUGGUAGCUGUUCCACAGAAGCCAGUCUUUCGGUGCUCAGCUUCAUCAACACAGGGCCCAGAGCCCGGCUCCUCUGGCCCUUUGUCAGGACUGUCGUGCAGAAAGCUAGGCCUGUUAGCCCACCGAUUUGGUACCUUCAGUUCAAUCAGGUUCUUUCACCUCAUCAAGUCAUCCGUUGAAUUACUCCAGAGUUUACAUAGCGCCAGGUACAGUUUUCUGUUAACUCCUGUAUCUCAGCUAUCCUGGCUCCUACAAAAACUUUAUAGCGGCAGGACUGUGAGCUCAACCAGGUGAGGACAGUUGUUGAGUCAGACCAUAAAACUAUCCUUCUGAUAGGUGAGGUAAGUUCUUUCUUCAGGAUGCUGGCCAGCUGGGCUGCUCCACAGAGGUCUAGGCGGGGAAUAGAGAGGGUACAUUUUGGGGCUACACGGGAGUGAGCAAGGAUGAAGGUGAGGUGAACCUGACCGGUGCGGUCUUCAGUACUCAUAUAUGCAAUGGCUCCAUAAGCUUUCUCAGAGGCAUCUGCGAAGAUAUGUACUUCACGGGUAGUCUCUUUUAAGUUGGCAUUAGCAGGUACAUAAGCGCGUGGGAGAGUAAGGUGAUGUAGAAACUGAAGCUCCGUCUCCCAAUCCGACCAAGCUUGAAGGAGUGCAGAUGGGAGGUUUGAGUCAUCCCAACUGUGCUUCUUAUCCCACAGCUGUCUGAGUAGGAGCUUCGCUCGAGUGGUAAAGGGUAACAGAUAUCCCAAAGUGUCAUACUGUGAGGCUAGAACCCUAUAGAUAUUUUGGAGAGUUGGCAUCUCAUAAGACACAGUCCUGUGCUUAUAGCCCAAUGAGUCUGUAUUCCAAAUCCAGUUGAGUCCAAGUGUUGUCUCCAAAGGGUGGGAUUUGUAUUCUGCCAACCACAGAUCCAGGCUUUGUGAUCUAGCUUCAGUAGGCAAAUGGCUCGGAGCACUUGGAUCAUUGCAAGCCCACUGUUGUAACUCAAAGCCGGCAUAUUUUAGCAAAUCUCUCAGGCGGUCCACAAGGGCUUCGGCUUCCUCUGGUGAGGCAACACUCUGUAGGCAGUUAUCCACUUCUCAAUGGAUAAUCCAAGGCUGUCAUCAGGCUGGUUGUGUUCCAUCAUGUGGUGCUGCAAAGCAAAUGUUGCACAGAGGGGACUUGAGAUGGUCCCAAAGGGCAGGACCUGCCACUCAGAUUUUGGGAAUCAUGUCCACCUUGAGAUCCCGCCAUAGGAACUUCAAUAUGAGGCGAUCUUCUGGGAGGAGAAGAACUUGAAUCUGCAAGCCUGUGUACGUGUCACACAGUGGAAAUUUGUUUUAUUGUGAUAGUGUGAUUAUGUAAAUAUGUGUGCAUGAUUUCUCUUUUAUUGCAUGCUUUUACUGUUGUGUUGUUUUGAUCCACUGUGGACUCUGAGAGGACAAAUUACCUGAUGAUGGCCACCUGUGGAGUUGUGGGUGUGCCUGGAAGCAGCCUAUGAGCUGCCAGAACACUUAAAGGGUGAAGAACUCACUACAGGAAGAGAAGGGGAAGCAGGUCAUAACAGCCAGGUGUGGUGGGAGGAGAGACUAAGUGACCGCCAAGUGUAAGCAGACUGAUUAGCACGACGUGGACCAUCUCUGCAGCAGGAACAGAGUGCAAAGGAAAACAAAGCGUUGGAUUGGCAGCGGGGCAGACGUGAAACUCUGCCCGCAUCCGUGAGUAAACGUUUUCCACUGACAUCUGCAGGGUUUUGCCACGUCGGAAGGGUCGCAGCAAAGAUCCGUUGGCUCCACAAACAACGCUUCUGGCCAGCAUGUGUUUGUAUUUGCAGGAGUCCAGUGGCGAGUGAGAGGCGCUUGGGGGCGGACCACAGCAAGGACGCGGUGUGACUGGACCAACCCUGAGACGGCUGUGGGGUGGAACUAAGAACUGACUUUCUUUGUGAACUCUGCGGCUGUGACAAUUAUCCUGGACUGGAAGCCUCCUGUUUUUAGUUGUUUUACUGAUUUAAAAUUAUUUGAAGAAAACAUUUUAUUGUGUUUUUAGCUUUUUAAGAGACUGGUUUUAUGAGAAAUAAAAACCCUCCAUUUCAACCUGAUCUGUUCUCUGUUCCCUGGGUUCUGACUCACUAGCUCCCUCUAAUUGUGAAAGGACCUAUCGUAACACUAAGCUACCAACUUAGUGCUUACAUGCGCAUCCAACUCCAUCAUCAAGUUUGCGGACGACACUACGGUGAUUGGUCUCAUCAGCAACAACGAUGAGACCAUAGAUAUCCAUAAUAAAGGCUAGAUGUCUUACGGCGCAGUCUCCAACGUCAUCACCGGCGGCCAUCUUGCCUCAGGCAAGCUUUCUGGCGUGCUCUGUGGUACCUAAUGUAAGGAAUUUGCUGGGUUUAUUAAAAGGAAGAUGCCAGACUUUUGUGCAGCCUACGGAUGCUCCAAUCGCCGUAGUGUCAAAACGAGAGCCAGUGGGAUCACCUUUCACAUGUUUCCCAAAAACGGAAAGAUGAGGAGGCUGUGGGAACUUGCCCUAAGAAGGGACGGUUUUGUUGCAAAUGACAGGACUCUGCUUUGCAGUGAGCACUUCAGGAGUGAGGAUUUUGACCGAACAGGGCAGACUGUCCGACUUAAAGAUGGUGUUGUGCCAAACAUUUUCAACUUUCCAGCUCAUCUUCAAAAGCUAGUAGCCACAAGAAACACAACCACCUCUAGAAGAGUGGAAGACAACCUGCCAAUGGACUUGUCCCAGGGUGUACCUUAACCUGAUGUUGGAGCCACUGGAGAGAGGGGUUUGAGCUGCAAGCGGCAGGCCACUGACCACUUGUAUGCAUUGCCUGCUUGCCCUAAGGCUAUAAAAGCCAAACUUGAAGAAGCCUCAGCAACCGUGAGGAAACUUCAGCGGGAGAAGAGUAAUGCCUUGAGGAGAGAAAAGAGGGCCAAGAUGAACAUGCGGGCUCUUCUGGAGGAAUUGAAGGAGAAAAAUCUAAUCAAUGAAGAGCUAAGAGACAACCUUGAAUGCUAUUUAGAUCUUCCAGUUCAUCUCCUGUCGAGGCAGGGCGUAGAGUACACCAAGGCCCAGAGAGAUUUUGCACUUACGCUCCAUCUGCAUGGUCCAAAGGCCUAUCACUACCUGAGAGAUACCCUGCAUAUUCACCUGCCACACCCCAGUUCGUUGCAAAGUGUCUACAUUUGGGAUGCUUGUGUUGGUGGUUAAAUGUCUACUUUUUAAUUGAGAACUCAGCCACUCAGGUGGCUGAGUUCUCUUGAUGCCAGACCUGGUCUCAAUAAAAUGAUGUUGGACAUGCUGGAAAGACGGCGUCAGGAAGAUGAGGUCAAGUACGGAUGUGUCACUCUGAUGCUGGAUGCCAUGUCCAUCAAAAAUCACAUCCAGUAUGACCCUCAGACACAAACAAUGUUUGAAUAUGUGGACAUGGGGGAUCGAUUGAAUGAGACUGACAUGGCUUCCGAAGUUCUUGUGUUCAUGGUGGUUGGGCUUCAAGGUUAUUGGAAAGCUCCGAUUGCAUAUUAUUUAACCAAGUCCCUCACACCACAAUCACAGACAGUCUUAGUACAGCAUGCAUUGGAAGAGUUGCAUCGUCGUCGGAUAAGAGUGGUGUGCAUGACAAUGGAUGGACAUGCAUCCAAUGUCAGUAUGUGCACUCAACUUGGGUGCGAUCUAAAAGCAGACCCCUGUGAGCCAUUGAAGACCCAUUUUCCACAUCCAGUAACCAAUGACAAUGUUUUUGUUAUGAUGGACGCUUGCCACAUGCUGAAGCUGACACGCAAUAUGUUGCAGGUACAUGCUCAUUGUUUCAAAUAUCUGCUCUGAUCGAGUCUCUCUGCUUUUUAUACAUUUUGAUUGUAUUUACAUAAUUGUGCAGAAUAUAGUGCUUUACAAAAAAAUCUGAUUCUGCAGGCAUACGGCCCCAUUGGAAGCAUAAAUGGCAGUAUCAAUUGGAAGUACAUAGUCCAUCUGAACAAUGUCCAAAAGAACUAGACUACAUGCUGCCAAUAGAGUCACAGAUAAGCAUGUGAACUUUUCUAAUCAGAAGAUGAAGGUCUCCCUGGCUGCUCAGACUUUGAGUAGCUCUGUAGCAGUGGCGCUCUGCACAUUGCAGGAGGUGGGCUAUGCAGAGUUCAAAGAUUGUGAGGCUACUGCAGAAUUCAUAAAGGUAAUGCAGCAAGGGAUUUGCAUUGUUGACCAAAAUCAUAUUCAACAUUUGAGUGAAUUAUUGCUUUAACCCAUUUAAUCCUUUAACUCUCACCUUCCAUUUGUGGUUUGUCUGUAGGUGAUAUUUAAAAUGUGAAUGUCACCAGAAUUAACCCUGUAUCUUUUUUAUUUUAUUUUUUUUCUCAAUUUAGGCAUCAAAAACAAUUAAAUAAUUAAUGACCAUCCUCAAAUUCAACAAUAUGCAAGAAGUUGGAUAAAACUCUUUAUUCCUACCUCAUACUUACAUCAAAAGCCCCCUUAUUGCCACAUCUCAGAUUUACAGGUUUAAAGCAGUGCAGUAAUUUAUUAAAAAAAUGCAUAGCCACAGAGGAAAUUGAGAGAAAUCAUACUAUGCCUUAUAGUUUGGUGUUUACUAUCUGAUACUUGUUGACACUCAGUUACAGUGAUAUUUUUUAGUGCUUCUAGUAAAUUUUGAUAUUUGUUUAUAGAUAACAGACAGGCUGUUUGACAUCUUGAACAGUCGCAAUCCCAGAGGCAAAGGCUUCAAAGCCCCCCUCAGUUCUACGAAUUGGACAAGCACCAGGGAGUUCUUGUCAAAAGCCAGGGGAUACUUGCUCACUUUGAAGAUGGAAGAUGGCAAACCCCUUUACCGAACAAAGAGGUCUUUUAAAAUAGUGACUGUUGUAUUGAUGAUGCACUGACACCAUUUGUAGUCGCCAAUACCCAGUACAAAUCCUUUUAUCAUAAUUAAAUGAUCAGAAUGAGACUGCUGAUUUAGAAAAUAUGGGUUUAUUAUAUUCUGUUAGAUUUAUACAAGUAGUCAUAUUAAAAGUCAUUAAAUUAUCCAAGGUAAUACUCCACUGGUUUCAGUGCAUCCCUCAAGUCCAUGAGUUAAUGAGAUGCUUUGUUCUCUUAUUUAUCUAUCUGCUGCAUCGAGUUCAGAUGCUCUGUCCUCCUGUUUGCAUCGAGUUCAUGAGAUGCUCUGUCCUCCUGUUUGCAUCGUGUUCAUGAGAUGCUCUUUUCGGUCUGCGUCAAGUUCAUAAAGUGGUUCCUCUCUGUCCUUGGCUUCAUCAUAAACAUUGACACCUUGAUGUUGAUGGUUCCUGCGCUGCUUGAAGGACAACGAUAUGUCCUGACUUAUAGGUUCAGCUAGGACCACUUGGAGCUUCUCUUCAACUCCAUCAGAGCAUCGGGGGGCUGGAAUAACAAUCCUAAUGCCAGCCAGUUCAAGUACAUUUUCAGGAAGCUGAUGGCCCGGUGUGGGGUUGUCAAAUCAUGCAGAGGCAAUGUGACUGCACAGGAUGACACAGAGUCCCUACCAGCUGUCAUUGACACCUCUACUAGCCUGUCAGCUGUAGAUAUGUCCUCUGCAGCAGGCGGAGAAGAUCUUCCAUCCCCGUUUGCUGACAUUCCUGCACUAGUACAUGACCACAGCUACCUUCCUGUCCGCUUUAAUGGUCUUGUGGACAACGCUCUCGUGUACAUUUCAGGAUUUGUUGUGCGACGGGCUCUGAAAAAGCUGUCCUGUGAUGUCUGCCGUGCCAGCUUGGUAACAGAUGCUGCAUCUGCCAUCAAGGACCAGAGCUACCACCUGCUGAAGUUGAAAAACAACGGAGGUCUGGUGAUUCCAUCAGAAGGCACAGUGAUGAUAGUCAGGGCAGCAGAGUGGGUCAUUCGUCAGACCUCAUGUACCAGACGAUCACAGCCCAUCAAAGAGCUAGAGGUCAUGUACAUUGUACGGAAGAGGAUAGGGUCAGAGGAUGUGUUUGUGCUCAGAGAGCACAUCGGAGAAACACAGUAUGGCAUAGACAGCCACCACCAUACGCUGUUAACGUUGGUUGUGUCCUUGUUUUUUAAGUUAAGGCUGCACCACAUUGCCAAAAUAACUAAUCUUAGCUUACAGAGCAACAACAUGCGACAGAAACUCAAUAAAAGCGUCCUUUUCAAAGGGCAUUAGCCAAACUAUGUUUUUUGGGUCAUUUUUUAAAUCUCUGUCUUCCAUGUGUAUACCAUCACAGUAGUGUAGGUGGGGAUUUCAACUUGCUACAUCUAUAUAUAUAUACUUGUGAAGGGGACUAUUGUACCAAUUUUAAUAGCAAAUAAAUGUCACUUUUAUAAUGGUUUAAAAAUAGGAACUUUUGUGAAAUUACCCCUGAUAUAUAAUUCGAAUAGUCUACAUGAAACUUCAAAGUGUUACCUUUAAUUUGAAACCUGGAUUAUGCUUCUACACCAAGAGGUUGCCACACAAUAAGCUUUUUUUGUCAGUAUUUCAUAUUUUAUUAUAACAGUAAUAUUCAUAUUAAAAGUAUGUAUGUAAAUAUAAAUAAAUUAGGACUGUGAAAUAAUUAAUCACACCCAAAUAAGUGUUUAAUGUUGCCACUCUGUAUACUGAGUUUUAAUAGCAUAUAUUGAUUUAACAUAAAUACCUUGUGCAUGUGUAUAUUUAUUGCACCUGUAAGUUUUAUUCAAUGUUCUUUUCAUUCCAUGGUUUUAAUUAUUCAUGAGUGUGCGGUGUGAUAACUACAUGUCUUACUUUUGUUUAACAAACCAAACAGUUUGAGAAUCGUUAGACAAUUGAAGAAGUUAUGGUUAUUUAAGUAUACAUGCGCCAUUGAAACACAAUGUUACGAAUGAGCGAGCUGCCUGUGGCAAGAUGGCCGCCACGUGCAGAUGUCGACCCCCAUUGGCCAGCAGCGCGGACGAGACAUCUAGCCUUUAUUAUGAAUAUCUAUGGAUGAGACAGCCUACAGGGAGGAGAUCAAGCACCUGGCCACAUGGUGCACUGAAAAUAACCAGCCCCUCAACACCACCAAAACAAAGGAGCUCAUCGUGGACUUAAGAAAAGAUUCAAGAGGCACGCACGACCAUAGACAUAAUAUAAGAGUAGACGCGUCAUUGGGCGGGUUCUGCCUAUGCUGCGAUGCGUCAGAGC